rnacentral:tRNA from 2 species
UCGGUCAUUAUCCCGCUAAGGAGGCGGAGCGGACUGUAAAUCCGCUGUUAUCAUAACACGAGUGGGUUCGAUUCCCUCAUGACCGAG